rnacentral:rRNA from 1 species
GCUGGCGGCGCGCCUAACACAUGCAAGUCGAGCGAGAACCGGAGCUUCGGCUCCGGGGACAGCGGCGAACGGGUGAGUAACACGUGGAUAACCUGCCCUCGGCACCGGAAUAGCCCGGGGAAACCCGGAUUAAUGCCGGAUGGCCCCACAUCCCUGCGGGGAACGUGGGAAAAGGUAGCUUCGGCCUCUGGCCGAGGAUGGGUACGCGGUGGAUUAGCUUGUUGGUGGGGUAAUGGCCCACCAAGGCGACGAUCCAUAGCUGGUCUGAGAGGACGAUCAGCCACACUGGGACUGAGACACGGCCCAGACUCCUACGGGAGGCAGCAGUGGGGAAUCUUGCGCAAUGGGCGAAAGCCUGACGCAGCGACGCCGCGUGCGGGAAGAAGGCCUUAGGGUUGUAAACCGCUUUCAGGAGGGACGAAGCCACUCGGGUGAAUAGCCCAGAGGGUGACGGUACCUCCAGAAGAAGCCCCGGCUAACUACGUGCCAGCAGCCGCGGUAAUACGUAGGGGGCAAGCGUUGUCCGGAUUCAUUGGGCGUAAAGAGCGUGUAGGCGGCCAGGUAGGUCGGUUGUGAAAAC